UGCAAGUCGAGCGGCAGCGCGGGGCAACCUGGCGGCGAGCGGCGAACGGGUGAGUAACAUAUCGGAACGUAUCCUUGAGUGGGGGACAACCCGUCGAAAGACAGGCUAAUACCGCAUACGCUCGAGAGAGGAAAGUGGGGGACCGCAAGGCCUCACGCUGAAGGAGCGGCCGAUAUUCGAUUAGCUAGUUGGUGAGGUAAAGGCUCACCAAGGCUACGAUCGAUAGCUGGUCUGAGAGGAUGAUCAGCCACACUGGAACUGAGACACGGUCCAGACUCCUACGGGAGGCAGCAGUGGGGAAUUUUGGACAAUGGGGGCAACCCUGAUCCAGCCAUUCCGCGUGAGUGAAGAAGGCCUUCGGGUUGUAAAGCUCUUUUGUUCGGGACGAAACGGUUAAGGUUAAUAACCUUGACUACUGACGGUACCGGAAGAAUAAGCACCGGCUAACUACGUGCCAGCAGCCGCGGUAAUACGUAGGGUGCGAGCGUUAAUCGGAAUUACUGGGCGUAAAGCGUGCGCAGGCGGUUAUGUAAGCCAGAUGUGAAAUCCCCGGGCUCAACCUGGGAAUGGCAUUUGGGACUGCAUAGCUAGAGUAUGGCAGAGGAGA
rnacentral:rRNA from 1 species